rnacentral:rRNA from 1 species
GACGAACGCUGGCGGCGUGCCUAAUACAUGCAAGUCGAGCGAAGUUUUUCUGGUGCUUGCACUAGAAAAACUUAGCGGCGAACGGGUGAGUAACACGUAAAGAACCUGCCUCAUAGACUGGGACAACUAUUGGAAACGAUAGCUAAUACCGGAUAACAGCAUUAACUGCAUGGUUGAUGUUUAAAAGUUGGUUUUGCUAACACUAUGAGAUGGCUUUGCGGUGCAUUAGCUAGUUGGUGGGGUAAAGGCCUACCAAGGCGACGAUGCAUAGCCGACCUGAGAGGGUGAUCGGCCACACUGGGACUGGGACACGGCCCAGACUCCUACGGGAGGCAGCAGUAGGGAAUCUUCCGCAAUGGGCGAAAGCCUGACGGAGCAACGCCGCGUGAGUGAAGAAGGAUUUCGGUUCGUAAAGCUCUGUUGUUAGGGAAGAAUGAUUGUGUAGUAACUAUACACAGUAGAGACGGUACCUAACCAGAAAGCCACGGCUAACUACGUG